CUUCUUUUCUACGAAGGAAUAUUUCCCCAUUAGAGAAAACAUUCCACUUUGACCCACGAUCUGUGUGUACCGUCGGACGUCUCUUCGACCAACCUUCUGAACGCAAUCGAUUAUAUCCUCUUAACGAAGCAGCUUACCUUUGGAUCCUUUGAAGGGAGAUAUUUCCUUGCCCCCUACCACCGUUCGAGCUUUGUAAAACAAUACUACAUCGGAAUCGAGAAGAAUGUAAAGCUCCUUCCACCGAGCCACGCCUGGGAAAUUAGCCGCGCUAGGUCAUCCAAGAUGGCGAUUUGCGGAAGAAGCUUUCCUUUAGAAGUCAUCUUCUCAAUAAUUUUUGAAGGAGUAAUACGCAAAUAUACAAGACUAAACGAAGGCAAAAGCAAUUCCAAUUGCUAGGAAGUAUUGCAGAGGAUCAGAAUUGAAUGAUAUCUGCAUUCUUAUUACGUCCAAAGAAGAUAUUUGGAUUUGAACUAAGCUUAAUGUGAUCAUUAAACAUUUGACAUCCGAAAUGAAACGCUUUUCCAUUGGUACUUCCUGUUUUUCCUCAAAUCCGAAGAUUCGUUCUACUUGGAUAGUAGAAAUGUCCGAAAGUCAACGAACUUAGGAAAUGGAAACGUUUACCUCUUCACUCUUAUAUUUCAAUGAGAUUUUAUCAUGGCUACUAGAAUAUUUCUAUUGAUGAACAUUAUUCGAGCAUAUUGAAGCAGAAGAGUGUUUCAAGAGUUAGUUGAAAAUUCUAACAAAGGAAGGAACAUCGUUAGCUAUUGUUCAUGUAUGCAUUAUGUGAUUGUGAAUACCUAGGAAGAGGAAAAAGAAGAAAAUACAUACUUGCUUGACGACGAAGUUUCGAAAGAUCAAUAUGGCAAUGUUUUAUAAAGCUUGGAACAAGGGUACGAGGAAAUGGGAGGGAUUUAUCUUUUUCAAAGCAUCUAACUGUGAGCGGCUUUAGCUGGAGGGUAUAAGCGAUUGUGUUCAACAAGCUUUGUCGAAGAGCCGUCCGACGUUCCAUGCGAGAUCAGUUCAGUCAUCCGUCUGGUGGAGGAACUCCUCCGCGGGAGUCAUCCUUUCAAUAAUUUUUGAUCGAGUAAUACGCAAAGAUAUACCAGGUUAAACGAAGGCGAAAGCAAUUUCAAUGGCUUAGAAAUAUUGCAAAGCUGCAGAAUUGACUGCUAUCUGAAUUGUAAUUACUUCCAAAGAAAAUACGUGAAUUUCAACUACGCUGCAUGAUAAUUGAAUAUUCCACAUCCGAAAUGAAACACAUUUACUUUGGCAGUCCUUGCUCUUCCGCAUAUCCGACAAUAGGUCAUUUAUGGAUAGCAUGAAUAUCCGACCAUCAAACAGAUUAGGAUAUGAAAACGUUUUCCUUCUUAAUCUUAUAUUUAAAUGGUCGAUCAAUUAAUGUUCUAUUUAUCGAAUGAUUUUAUGAUGACGACGCGAGUAUUUCUAUUGAUGAGAGGGACAUUAGGUCUCUUAACUGUAGCUAUCCUUCAUAUUGUAUUAUUGUAUAUAAAUCAAGAACCUACAUAUUUAUUAACUAAUGUAACGAAAAAUAUUAUAUAUAUGGGAAGCAAGAUGCUCCAUGAAAGAGACGAGAUCAUAAAAGCAGAGGAUGAAGCUGAUGCUGCUCACGAAUUUAUUACAAAUCUUCCAAAUGAUCUGGUAGGCAAGUUAGUGAGAGAAUCACCUAAUUAUCUGGUUUAUGGAAACAACAUGUUUCUAUUUCUAGAGCAUUACUAUAGCAACCAUCGACAUCAAUAUUAAAUUUUAAUACACGAGGUACGAAGAUAUCAGAUUGCAUUGAAUCGUGAAAGCAGAAGAGUGGUCCAAGAAGGUGGAAAUUCGUACUGAAGAAGAAACAUCAUUAGCUACUGCUCUUGCAUGCAUUAUGUGAUUGAGAAUACCUAGGAAAUGCAAAAGGAAAAAGAACAUUUGUGUGUUUCCGACGAAAUUUGGAAAAACCAAUAUGGCAUUGUUUUAUAAAGCUUGGAACUGUGGUACGAGGAAAUGGGAGGGAUUUACCUUCUUCAAAGGAUCCAAACGUGAGCGGCUUUAGCUGUAGGCUAUAAGCGACGGUACUCAGAUCGAUUUGUCGACGUUCCACGCAGGGCCAGGAUCAAAUGGGAAUUGAAAUGAAACUGAGGGAAGUAUAUCAUACAUAAUAAUUUAACAUACAGGGACGAUCAAAGGAUUCACCGUUUUUGGAAGUAAUAACGUUAACAGGGAAAUACUUUUAAAUUAUACGUGAAAUUGAAAAUCCACGUUCACGUGAUUUUUAUUCCAUCGAUGCAAAUUAAGUAAGCAUUCGAUAUUAUUAAGAAAGGAGAAAUGCUGAAUUCUGUAUUUGAUAUUAUUUCUCAUAACAUUCACGACAUGUACUUAAAGAAUAUUCGUAAUAUUUAAUUAGCGGUUUUCUUAAAUAUUGAAAUUUGGACGAAGAAUUCGGUAGCACAAAGUAUCUGUUUUUAAUACGUUCUCCCAUACUUAUCGAGAAAUACCUUCGUUUUAAACUUUUCGGUAUUAUCUCCCUCAAUCUGCGGGUGCUCUAGUGCACGACUAUCUGCGGCGGUUCGAGUAGCCGGGGAUGAGUGAGCGGUCCUGUGUGCGUCUAUGCGGACAACCCCUAUUUUAUCUUCAUAUAAUUGGAGAUUAGCUCUAUAAUUCCAUUACCUAUUUAGAUUUAUCGUUUGAUAGCACGAUUACUUAUUUUGCAGAGUAGUGGAUUAUUUUCUUUGGAACAAAUUGAUUUGGAACAUAAUAUACGAAAUAUUAGAUAAUUAGGAUUAUUUUUUUGCAUUCUUCAAUAGGGAGUAAAUUUCUAGGAAAAUGUUUCGGUUCAUAUAGAAAAAUUAAAUCAGUCGUGGUACAUUGACGUCCAAAUUAUCCAGAUAACUGCAUGAUACAGCUAAAUGGAUAAUUGAAUUAUACCGCUAAUCUUAUUAUCGAAUUGUCUGCUUCGUUUGAUGAGAGGGAAACUCAUGAAAAAAUACCUUUCUUGUUUUUAAAAUAAGAGAAGUGAUGUACGUAGAAACGCCCACUUAUUCCCGUCCACUUGAGCAGCACUUGAAAAGCGCGCACGGAGAGGAAUAACAAUGCAUCGUUUAAUAUCAUGGUGCUUGACGAUAGGUACGAGGGAAGGUAUUGCGUACGCGUAAAUCGUUAAAUUCCGAUCAAUACUCGUUAACAGGGAAAUUUGUAGACAUGAAGGAUCAUAUAUUUUUGCAAAAAAGAGCAAAAUUUUGUCCUUUAUAAUUUUUCACGAUGUCUAUGAUAAAUGUUGAAUCAAUUCUUUUCCAACAUUAUCAUCCCUCGCGUUAUGUAUGAGAUCUCUCCGUUUUCUUGUUGGAUGUCAUCACUGUCACUUCUAUCGUUUUCUUCCGAAUUAAUAUUCAUUUUUUCUAACCGUGUAAAUGGAAUUUCUCUUCGGUAUUACUUAUAGCACGAAACUCACUCGUGUUUGGAAAUUUUGGAUUUUCUCUUAAUGAAAAAGAAAUAAGUAAGUAAACGGGUUGGUAGUCUGAAAUUGUAUAUUACCAAAUCACGAAAUGAUACAUAACAAUAAUAUAAUACUUUCCUGGUUUCCUGACUAAUUUAGUCGAGGGAUCUAUUUAUACUACUCGAAGUUUCAAUACGAAGUGAGCUCAGCUUUGAAAAUCUCUUUCCUGAGUUUUAUGAAUACUUGUUUACUUCAUCAAAUAUCACUAUAUCGUACGAGGCAUACUCAUGUACUAUUACAAACAAAUCCUUUUCAUCGCUCUCUUUAAGCAGGCUGGAUAAGCAUCCAGAUCGUUGUGAACGUACUUCUUCUUCAUAAAACCGAUUGUUUUCGUACGUCCUCGUAAUUUGAUUAUUUCGUUAGUAACGAAUUCAAUUGUUCUCUCGGAGGUGAAAUACGUGAAAGAGAAGGUAAUAUUAGGUGAGAAAGAAAUACGAAGAAAGAUAUUGUCCGAAUACAAGUUUUUUAUCAUUAUGCAAUAACGAAAAUGAAUUUUUCGAUAACUUGAGCAAUAUUCAUUUGUUUACAAGAAAAGAAGGUAAUAUUUGGAAAAAAUGUUUUCAAGCAAAAUGGAAGUAGAUAUAACUUCCGAACAUGAGAAAUGCUUUCACCACAGUCUGAGCUCUUCUCUGAUCCGCUGAAGGAGGGUUGUAAGAAGAACUUGUAUAUAUAGUGAUAUUUGAUGAAGCAAACAACCGAUCCUAAAACUGGAGAAAGAGAUUGUCAAAGCUGAAACGAGUUCUUAUUAAAACUUGUAGUAGUAUAAAUAGGUCCCUCGACUAAUUAAUCAAAAAACCAGGAAAGUAUUAUUUUUUUGUUAUGUAUCAUUUCGUGAUUUCGUAAAAUGCAAUUAUCUCCAUUUUAUUUAUUUAUCUAUUUUUUUUUUCUUCUUUUUUUCUUUCUUUCUUUCUUUUAUUAAGAGAAAGGCAAAGUGCCCAAAUACGCACAAGUCUCAUGAUAUAAGAUAUAAGUAGUGAAGAAGAAUGUCAGAUAGGCAUUCAUACAGUCACGUUAGAAAAAAUAAAUAUGAAUUCGGAAGAAUACAACAGUAGGGAUAGUUAUAUCAUCUAGCAAGGAAACGAAGAGAUCUCAUUGAUGAAAGUGAUGAAAAUGUUGUAAGAGAAUUGCUUGAAAACUAAUCAUAGAUUUCGUAAAAACUAAUAAGUACUUUUAAAAUAUAUACUCUGAUGUGAGUCGUUGGACCACGUCUGCGCCAAUAAAGUUCCAUCGAUUUGUUGAGAGGUAACGACCGAAAGGACUCAGUGUAGAAAUGAUUAUUACGUUAUACGCACAUUAAUUGCUUACUCGGACGGAAAGGUCGAAAAUGAAGUUAAUUAAGGGGAAAUGAACUUCUCUUUUAUUAUUGAACAAAUAUCUUUGAAUUCGACAUGUUACUUUUCUCUCUUUUUUUUUUCUCUCUUUCUUUACACUUUAUAAUCUGAAAUAAACUAAUGAAUGUUGUCUA